AUUCACGCCCCCCUGAACAAGCCCGAUCCCGUCUGAUCGCGAAAGCUAAGCAGGGUCAGGCCUUAUUAGUACUUGGAUAGGAGACCACCUAGGAAGACCAGGUACUGUAGGUG
rnacentral:rRNA from 1 species